rnacentral:rRNA from 1 species
CCAGACUCCUACGGGAGGCAGCAGUGGGGAAUAUUGCACAAUGGGGGAAACCCUGAUGCAGCGACGCCGCGUGAGUGAAGAAGUCAUUCGUGAUGUAAAGCUCUAUCAGCAGGGAAGAAAAUGACGGUACCUGACCAAGAAGCCCCGGCUAACUACGUGCCAGCAGCCGCGGUAAUACGUAGGGGGCAAGCGUUAUCCGGAUUUACUGGGUGUAAAGGGAGCGUAGACGGUUGCGCAAGUCUGGAGUGAAAGGCGGGGGCCCAACCCCCGGACUGCUCUGGAAACUGUGUAACUGGAGUGCAGGAGAGGUAAGUGGAAUUCCUAGUGUAGCGGUGAAAUGCGUAGAUAUUAGGAGGAACACCAGUGGCGAAGGCGGCUUACUGGACUGUAACUGACGUUGAGGCUCGAAAGCGUGGGGAGCAAACAGGAUUAGAUACCCGUGUA